GCUUGUCUCAAGAUUAAGCCAUGCAUGUCUAAGUAUAAAUAAUUCUAUACUGUGAAACUGCGAAUGGCUCAUUAUAUCAGUUAUAGUUUAUUUGAUAGUCAAUCACUACUUGGAUAACCGUAGUAACUCUAGAGCUAAUACAUGCGUAAAGUCCCGACUCUUUCUGGGGAGGGAUGUAUUUAUUAGAUAAAAAACCAAUGCGGGUUCUGCCCGGUUUUGUGUUGAAUCAUAGUAACUUUUCGAAUCGCAUGGCUUCACGCCGGCGAUAGUUCAUUCAAAUUUCUGCCCUAUCAGCUUUCGACGGUAGUGUAGUGGACUACCGUGGCGUUAACGGGUAACGGAGAAUUAGGGUUCGAUUCCGGAGAGGGAGCCUGAGAAACGGCUACCACAUCUAAGGAAGGCAGCAGG
rnacentral:rRNA from 1 species